rnacentral:misc_RNA from 1 species
UCUCCGUUGGUGAACCAGCGGAGGGAUCAUUAUCGAGUUUAUAACUCCCAAACCCUAUGUGAACUUACCACUUGUUGCUUCGGCGCGCGCUUCGGCGCCGCCGAGGACACUUAAACUCUUUGUUUUUAUAAGCAUUUCUGAGUGGCCGAAAGGCGAAAUACAAAUGAAUCAAAACUUUCAACAACGGAUCUCUUGGUUCUG